rnacentral:rRNA from 1 species
UACGGAGGGUGCAAGCGUUAUCCGGAUUCACUGGGUUUAAAGGGUGCGUAGGUGGGCAAGUAAGUCAGUGGUGAAAUCUCCGGGCUUAACCCGGAAACUGCCAUUGAUACUAUUUGUCUUGAAUACUGUGGAGGUCAGCGGAAUAUGUCAUGUAGCGGUGAAAUGCUUAGAUAUGACAUAGAACACCAAUUGCGAAGGCAGCUUACUGCGCAUAUAUUGACGCUGAGGCACGAAAGCGUGGGGAGCAAACAGG